CAGCGUAGAAGGCAGGGCCUGUAUAACAGCAAGUAGCUGGCUGCAGACAGAGGCUGAGGGGCUGCAGGGAAGGAGGUUGCAGUCACUCCCUGAGUAGGAGUUGGUAGGCUGGGAAGCUCAGAGAGGGGAAAAGCCAGAUAGAUAGAAAGAAGCCCAGGGAAACAGCAGAGACCUUGGCUUCUUAUUAUAGGGUUCUGGGCCUGGAACCCAGUGUACAGAGAAGGUCUGGGUUCCCCCGCCGGCCACUGGGAAGAGGCAAGGGUGUUGGAGACGCCAGCCAGACAGCAGGUCUGGAAAGACACUGAAUUCCCCAGAAGGAGAGGACUUUAGUGAAUCUAAAGGAGGGCCAAGCCAGGAAGAGGAGACUGCAGUGCCUGGUGUGAGAGAGGCUGCAAGUGAGACAGGACAGGGGAAGACUCCUCCAGAGGGGGAGCUCAAGCCUGGCAGAAUUAAUUUCCAGCAUGGCCAGCAGGAGGUGCCAUUGUGCUGGUGAGUGUCUUUAUCUUCCGUGUGAGUGUCUUCAUCCUCUGAGGAAGUGACUGACUGAGAACCAAAGCUGCUCACUCUCUGGUGUUCCUGCGUAUCUUUUCCUUGUCUUUUAGACUGAAUGUUCCUCAUGGCAGGGACCAGCUUUUUAUGUUUUGUUCCUUAUCGAGUAAGCUGUUUGGAGCUGAAUAAAAAAUGGGCCUGAUUCUCCA